rnacentral:rRNA from 1 species
AGCGAACGCUGGCGGCAGGCUUAACACAUGCAAGUCGAGCGGACCUUUCGGGGUCAGCGGCGGACGGGUGAGUAACGCGUGGGAACGUGCCUUCCGGUUCGGAAUAACCCUGGGAAACUAGGGCUAAUACCGGAUACGCCCUUAUGGGGAAAGGUUUACUGCUGGAAGAUCGGCCCGCGUCUGAUUAGCUAGUUGGUGGGGUAACGGCCUACCAAGGCGACGAUCAGUAGCUGGUCUGAGAGGAUGAUCAGCCACACUGGGACUGAGACACGGCCCAGACUCCUACGGGAGGCAGCAGUGGGGAAUAUUGGACAAUGGGCGCAAGCCUGAUCCAGCCAUGCCGCGUGAGUGAUGAAGGCCUUAGGGUUGUAAAGCUCUUUUAUCCGGGACGAUAAUGACGGUACCGGAGGAAUAAGCCCCGGCUAACUUCGUG